GCCGAACGAUGAAGCCAGCUUGCUGGGUGGAUUAGUGGCGAACGGGUGAGUAACACGUGAGCAACCUGCCCCUGACUCUGGGAUAAGCGCUGGAAACGGCGUCUAAUACUGGAUAUGUCCCAUCACCGCAUGGUGUGUGGGUGGAAAGAUUUUUCGGUUGGGGAUGGGCUCGCGGCCUAUCAGCUUGUUGGUGAGGUAAUGGCUCACCAAGGCGUCGACGGGUAGCCGGCCUGAGAGGGUGACCGGCCACACUGGGACUGAGACACGGCCCAGACUCCUACGGGAGGCAGCAGUGGGGAAUAUUGCACAAUGGGCGGAAGCCUGAUGCAGCAACGCCGCGUGAGGGAUGACGGCCUUCGGGUUGUAAACCUCUUUUAGCAGGGAAGAAGCGAGAGUGACGGUACCUGCAGAAAAAGCACCGGCUAACUACGUGCCAGCAGCCGCGGUAAUACGUAGGGUGCAAGCGUUAUCCGGAAUUAUUGGGCGUAAAGAGCUCGUAGGCGGUCUGUCGCGUCUGCUGUGAAAUUCCGAGGCUCAACCUCGGGCUUGCAGUGGGUACGGGCAGACUAGAGUGCGGUAGGGGAGAUUGGAAUUCCUGGUGUAGCGGUGGAAUGCGCAGAUAUCAGGAGGAACACCGAUGGCGAAGGCAGAUCUCUGGGCCGUAACUGACGCUGAGGAGCGAAAGCGUGG
rnacentral:rRNA from 1 species